UACGGAGGGAGCUAGCGUUGUUCGGAAUUACUGGGCGUAAAGCGCACGUAGGCGGCUUUGUAAGUUAGAGGUGAAAGCCCGGAGCUCAACUCCGGAAUUGCCUUUAAGACUGCAUCGCUUGAAUCCAGGAGAGGUGAGUGGAAUUCCGAGUGUAGAGGUGAAAUUCGUAGAUAUUCGGAAGAACACCAGUGGCGAAGGCGGCUCACUGGACUGGUAUUGACGCUGAGGUGCGAAAGCGUGGGGAGUAAACAGG
rnacentral:rRNA from 1 species